rnacentral:lncRNA from 1 species
CAUCUUCUCUACAACUCUCUUCGCUUCCUGAACCAAACCCAACUUACAAUACCCUUCAACUAACAUAUUCCAGGCAAUCAAAUCAACUUUGACCCGCGAAUCUUUCAGCAUUUCGUCGAAAACUUUGUUGGCCAAAUUCGGUUGACCCGACGAAGCAAAAGCUUUCAUCAACGUAGUGUAGCUGAUCUUGGUUGGAGGAAUCCCUUUUGAACGCAUCUUAUUGAAGAAGGUAAGAGCCUCAGAACUGUCAUCAACCAUUAUACACCCGUCAAUCAUAAUGUUAUAAGAGACGACAUCAGGCUCAAUCUCAGCAUUAUCCUCCAUCUCUUUCAUCAGCUCUUUCGCUUUGUUUAUCUGCAGCUGCUGGCAAUAUCCCUUCAACAGAAUGUUAUAAGUAAUCCUGUUUCCUGGUACUCCGAUCCUCGUCAUCUCAGCCAGCACUUG